UGCCUACGGGAGGCAGCAGUGAGGAAUAUUGGUCAAUGGCCGGAAGGCUGAACCAGCCAAGCCGCGUGAAGGACGAAGGUGCCAAGCAUUGUAAACUUCUUUUGUCAAGGGACAAAAUCAGGCUCGAGAGCCUGACCGAGGGUACUUGAAGAAAAAGCAUCGGCUAACUACGUGCCAGCAGCCGCGGUAAUACGUAGGGGGCAAGCGUUAUCCGGAUUUACUGGGUGUAAAGGGAGCGUAGACGGCUGUGCAAGUCUGAAGUGAAAGGCAAGGGCUCAACCUUUGGACUGCUUUGGAAACUGUGG
rnacentral:rRNA from 1 species